rnacentral:rRNA from 1 species
AUUGAACGCUGGCGGCAGGCCUAACACAUGCAAGUCGAGCGGAUGAAGGGAGCUUGCUCCUGGAUUCAGCGGCGGACGGGUGAGUAAUGCCUGGGAAUCUGCCUGGUAGUGGGGGAUAACGUCCGGAAACGGGCGCUAAUACCGCAUACGUCCUGAGGGAGAAAGUGGGGGAUCUUCGGACCUCACGCUAUCAGAUGAGCCUAGGUCGGAUUAGCUAGUUGGUGGGGUAAAGGCCUACCAAGGCGACGAUCCGUAACUGGUCUGAGAGGAUGAUCAGUCACACUGGAACUGAGACACGGUCCAGACUCCUACGGGAGGCAGCAGUGGGGAAUAUUGGACAAUGGGCGAAAGCCUGAUCCAGCCAUGCCGCGUGUGUGAAGAAGGUCUUCGGAUUGUAAAGCACUUUAAGUUGGGAGGAAGAGCAGUAAGUUAAUACCUUGCUGUUUUGACGUUACCAACAGAAUAAGCACCGGCUAACUUCGUG